AUUGAACGCUGGCGGCAGGCCUAACACAUGCAAGUCGAACGGUAACAGGAAGACGCUUGCUUCUUUGCUGACGAGUGGCGGACGGGUGAGUAAUGUCUGGGAAACUGCCUGAUGGAGGGGGAUAACUACUGGAAACGGUAGCUAAUACCGCAUAACGUCGCAAGACCAAAAAGGGGGACCUUCGGGCCUCUUGCCAUCGGAUGUGCCCAGAUGGGAUUAGCUAGUAGGUGGGGUAACGGCUCACCUAGGCGACGAUCCCUAGCUGGUCUGAGAGGAUGACCAGCCACACUGGAACUGAGACACGGUCCAGACUCCUACGGGAGGCAGCAGUGGGGAAUAUUGCACAAUGGGCGCAAGCCUGAUGCAGCCAUGCCGCGUGUAUGAAGAAGGCCUUCGGGUUGUAAAGUACUUUCAGCGGGGAGGAAGGGAGUAAAGUUAAUACCUUGGCUCAUUGACGUUACCCGCAGAAGAAGCACCGGCUAACUCCGUG
rnacentral:rRNA from 1 species